rnacentral:ncRNA from 1 species
GUAGAGUAAAUAUUGUGCGUGAAGUGUUAUGGGAUGGGAUGUUGCCCAUAAACGAAGACCGCUUGUAUCUCAAAUGACUAUCAGGAUCAUAUUACUGCCGAUAUGCUGUGAGACAGGAGGUUGCGAUACAAUAUUGCGUCCACUA